rnacentral:rRNA from 1 species
AUUGAACGCUGGCGGCAUGCUUUACACAUGCAAGUCGAACGGUAACAGGGAGCUUGCUCCGCUGACGAGUGGCGAACGGGUGAGUAAUGCGUCGGAACGUGCCGAGUAGUGGGGGACAACACGGGGAAACUCGUGCUAAUACCGCAUACGCUCUACGGAGGAAAGCCGGGGACCGCAAGGCCUGGCACUGAUAGAUGAGCCCAAGCCGGAUUAGCUAGUUGGCGGGGUAACGGCCCACCAAGGCGACGAUCCGUAGCUGGGCUGAGAGGACGAUCAGCCACACUGGAACUGAGACACGGUCCAGACUCCUAGGGGAGGCAGCAGUGGGGAAUAUUGGAGAAUGGGGGAAACCCUGAUCCAGCGACGCCGCGUGGGUGAAGAAGGCGUGCGGGUUGUAAAGCACUUUAAGUGGGGAAGAGAAGCUGUUGCCUAAUAAGCCACAGCCCUGACAUUACCCACAGAAUAAGCACCGGCUAACUCCGUGCCAGCCGCCGCCGUAACAC